rnacentral:rRNA from 1 species
GACGAACGCUGGCGGCGCGCUUAACACAUGCAAGUCGAGCGAGAACCCAGGCUUCGGCCUGGGGGACAGCGGCGAACGGGUGAGUAACACGUGAGUAAUCUGCCCUCGACAUCGGGAUAGCCCGGGGAAACCCGGAUUAAUACCGAAUAGCCCAACAGCUUUUCGGAGCGGUUGGAAAAGGUAGCUUCGGCCUCCGGUCGAGGAGGAGCUCGCGGCGGAUUAGCUUGUUGGUGAGGUAACGGCNCACCAAGGCUUCGAUCCGUAGCUGGUCUGAGAGGACGAUCAGCCACACUGGGACUGAGACACGGCCCAGACUCCUACGGGAGGCAGCAGUGGGGAAUCUUGCGCAAUGGGCGAAAGCCUGACGCAGCGACGCCGCGUGAGGGAAGAAGGCCUGGUGUAACG